UGAAUUACACUGAAAAUACCUGUCUAAGGAGGUAUCAUGGCAGUCUGAUAUCAAGGAGAAUCUAGACUAGGAAAAUGACUGAAGCCCGGUAUGGAAUGAAGACGUCACCUUUGGCUUGUCUAUGCAGUCAAAAUCCAAACCGAUGCAACUGAUUCAGACAGCGUCAAAAAUAAAAGGAGGGGCACUCCUCCUCCACUGAUGAUCUGCAUGGGCAUCUGAGCAUGUCCCUACAGCUCCAUGGUUUGCCCUGCUCCUCCUUCUCCUCC